GAAGAGGAGGACUGCAGAGACUCAAAAGAUCUGGUUUGAGGUGAAAUACUUCACUGAUUGAAGAAGUGUGUGACUGGAAGGGAUCCCAGAGCAGAAAGAGGGCCAUUAUGAGACCAAAGCACGGCUGGGCCUUGGUGCACGUGUCCAUCCUGGCUGGACUCCUUCUCACCUGUAACACUGAAGCUACAGAUUCAGAAGAUUCAAGCUGCUCUCAGAGGAUUACUGUACGCCGCCACACUGUAUAUAAAGCUACAGUUGGACAAACGCUGAAGAUCAAUUGCACAGUUUUCUUCUGUGAUGAUACGCCACCGACAGUAUCCUGGGAAAAAAACUCAUUCCUCAUCCCAGUCAACAAAACCAGUCACAUCAACACUGAAUGGUCUUUGAUUAACAAACAGGAAGGAGUUUCACUUCUGAGCUUUAAAAAAAUUCACCUCAGUGAUUCUGGUCGAUAUAACUGUCAAAUGAAGGGCAGCGUGAGUCACGGCAUUACUCUCAACGUCUAUGGUGAUAACGAAACAAUUAGUCCAUUGGAGAACAGCACAAGACGAUCCAAAAAGGAGAACAAAACUGAAAACCAGUACAUCUGCAUGGAAGAGCGAACCUUCACACACCGCACCCCAAAAGGAAGCCCUUCUGUGACGCCGUCUACCCAGAAAAAGACAACUUUAAUGCCACCAAAGCGUGAGAUUGUAUCAACGCAUAAAGCUCAGAUGAGAGAGGAAAAUAUGACGCAAAAAGAAGAGGAAGGUGCUUCGAUUGUGUACGCCGCAAUCAACCAUCAGCUUCCAUCUACUGCGGCUGGUCCUAGGAGACAAACUCCGCAAGAAGAACCAACCUUGUAUGCAGCGUUACGUGUGGCAUGAGAACCAACUGGACUGAUAUACACCAAAUUGUACAUUAUUACCUCAUGUUUUUGGUAAAACUAAAGAAAUACCUGAUGAUAAACAUUCUUUCCUUUGUAAAAGUAGCUACUUGCAUACUCCACAGUAAGAAAAGUAGCUAUUGGGUGUUCAAGAAGCCGCUAGAUGGUGCUAGCUAUUAGUUUGUGAUGGUGUAGGUGUGGGUUUUAAAGAAAACAACAGCUUUAGUAGUGGUUGGUUACAGUGGACUGGACAGGUCGCGCACGUACAAGUAACUCUAGGCUACACCAAAAAAAGUCACUAGACGUGUUGCUCGUCACUAUUUCGAGAGAAAUAAAAAGUCGCAAAGGAGAUCA
rnacentral:lncRNA from 1 species